rnacentral:rRNA from 1 species
UACGUAGGGGGCGAGCGUUAUCCGGAAUUACUGGGCGUAAAGCGCGCGCAGGCGGCCUGUUAAGUCGGGUGUGAAAGGCUGCGGCUCAACCGCAGAGCGGCAUCCGAAACUGGCGGGCUUGAGUGCAGGAGAGGGAAGCGGAAUUCCCGGUGUAGCGGUGGAAUGCGUAGAGAUCGGGAGGAACACCAGUGGCGAAGGCGGCUUCCUGGCCUGUAACUGACGCUGAGGCGCGAAAGCGUGGGGAGCAAACAGGAUUAGAUACCCUGGUAGUCCACGCCGUAAACGAUGAGUGCUAGGUGUUGGGGGUCCUGAGCCCUCAGUGCCGAAGGUAACCCAUUAAGCACUCCGCCUGGGGAGUACGGCCGCAAGGCUGAA